rnacentral:SRP_RNA from 1 species
GUGGGGCGUGGUGGCACGUGCCUGCAAUCCCAGCUACUCGGGAGGCUGAGGCUGGAGGGUCUCUUGAGUCCAGGAGUUCUGGGCUGUAGUGUGCUACACCAAUUGGGUGUUUGCACUAAGUUCGCCCUCAAUAUGGUGACCUCCCAGGAGCGGGGGACCACCAGGUUGCCUAAGGAGGGGUGAACCGGCCCAGGUCAGAAACAGAGCAGGUCAAAACUCCCAUGCUGAUCAGUAGUGGGAUCGUGCCCGUGAAUAGCCACUGCAAUCCAGCCUGGGCAACAUAGCAAGACCCCGUCUCU